UGCCAGCCGCCGCGGUAAUACGGAGGGGGUUAGCGUUGUUCGGAAUUACUGGGCGUAAAGCGUACGUAGGCGGAUUAGUAAGUUAGAGGUGAAAUCCCAGGGCUCAACCCUGGAACUGCCUUUAAUACUGCUAGUCUUGAGUUCGAGAGAGGUGAGUGGAAUUGCGAGUGUAGAGGUGAAAUUCGUAGAUAUUCGCAGGAACACCAGUGGCGAAGGCGGCUCACUGGCUCGAUACUGACGCUGAGGUACGAAAGUGUGGGGAGCAAACAGGAUUAGAUA
rnacentral:rRNA from 1 species